rnacentral:rRNA from 1 species
GACGAACGCUGGCGGCGUGCUUAACACAUGCGAGUCGAACGGAAAGGCCCUGCUUUUGUGGGGUGCUCGAGUGGCGAACGGGUGAGUAACACGUGAGUAACCUGCCCUGGACUUUGGGAUAACUCUAGGAAACUGGGGCUAAUACCGGAUAGGAGCUCCCCCUGCAUGGGGGGGGUUGGAAAGUUUCGGCGGUUGGGGAUGGACCGGCGGCUGAUCAGCUUGUUGGUGGGGUAGUGGCUCACCAAGGCUUUGACGGGUAGCCGGCCUGGGAGGGUGACCGGCCACAUUGGGACUGAGAUACGGCCCAGACUCCUACGGGAGGCAGCAGUGGGGAAUAUUGCACAAUGGGCGGAAGCCUGAUGCAGCAACGCCGCGUGCGGGAUGACGGCCUUCGGGUUGUAAACCGCUUUCGCCUGUGACGAAGCGUGAGUGACGGUAAUGGGUAAAGAAGCACCGGCUAACUACGUG